CGCCAGACUCCUACGGGAGGCAGCAGUGGGGAAUAUUGCACAAUGGGGGAAACCCUGAUGCAGCGACGCCGCGUGAGUGAAGAAGUAUUUCGGUAUGUAAAGCUCUAUCAGCAGGGAAGAAAAUGACGGUACCUGACUAAGAAGCCCCGGCUAACUACGUGCCAGCAGCCGCGGUAAUACGUAGGGGGCAAGCGUUAUCCGGAUUUACUGGGUGUAAAGGGAGCGUAGACGGCAUGGCAAGUCAGAUGUGAAAGCCCGGGGCUCAACCCCGGGACUGCAUUUGAAACUGUCAGGCUGGAGUGCAGGAGAGGUAAGUGGAAUUCCUAGUGUAGCGGUGAAAUGCGUAGAUAUUAGGAGGAACACCAGUGGCGAAGGCGGCUUACUGGACAGUAACUGACGUUGAGGCUCGAAAGCGUGGGGAGCAAACAGGAUUAGAUACCCUAGUA
rnacentral:rRNA from 1 species